rnacentral:rRNA from 1 species
CCUACGGGAGGCAGCAGUAAGGAAUAUUGGUCAAUGGACGCAAGUCUGAACCAGCCAUGCCGCGUGCAGGAAGACGGCCCUAUGGGUUGUAAACUGCUUUUGUACGGGAAAAACCUCCGGUCGUGCACCGGAGCUGAUGUACCGAAG